AUGGCUUCAUCUGCUGAUCGGGGGAAGGCGAAGGAGACGCUCUCGCCCAAGGCGGCGAGGGAGAAGCUAGCGGAGGCGCUGGGGAAGAUGGACAUAACUGAUCCGUUAGUGCUUGACGAUCUAGAAGAUGAGGCACAUGAUAAGUGGAUGCUGGCUGGAAAAGUACUGAAUCGAAAUAUCCUUCACAUCCAGACGAUAUCCAGCGCGCUCCGGCCGGCGUGGGGAAACCCUAAAGGACUCCACUUCAGGCCGGCGGGGGAGAAUACGUUUGUGGCAGAAUUUGCGUGCCAGCGAGAUCGUGAUCGUGUGUGGGAGGGUUCGCCAUGGCAUGUCAGCAAGAACGCGGUGAUCCUCUCGGCGUUUGAUGAAUGCAUGCGGCCUUCCGAGUUGAAGUUUGAUAAACUGCAGAUCUGGGCUAGAGUGCUAAACCUCCCGUUCAACCUUCGGGCAGAACCAUGGAGGUAUCUAAGGGCGAGAGUAACUGUGGAUGUUAAUAAGCCCUUGAGAAGGUGGAUACUGAUUGAAUCUAAGAGGAGAAAGUGCAUGGAUCCUUAUGAGAUUGUCUAUGAGAACGUACCACACUUCUGUUUCUCAUGUGGCAAGUUGGGCCAUUCGGACCUGGUUUGCAUGACGCCUGGAACGAGGGAUGAGAACGGUGAUCUUCCCUUCGAUAAAGGUCUGAGAGCGCAAGAUGAUUGGAGAAAGGCUGCUUCAAGCGAGAGUUCGACAAGGGAGGGCUCGCUCCCUCCAAAGAGCAAGGCUGACACCAGAAACUCUAGCACUGCGGCCAGGGGUGCAAAUGAGAUUGGGGACGCUGAGCUUGUCUGGGUCUCAGAUCUCAUUGAUGCGGAUUCGGGGACAUGGAAACGUAAUGAGGUGCAUGCAAAUUUCAUUCCGUGUGAAGCAGACGCUAUUCUCAAUAUACCCUUGAGGCGGUUUGGAGGAGAUGAUAUAUGGGCAUGGUCGGCAGAAAAAGCAGGAGUCUAUACUGUCAAGUCAGCGUACCGCACUCUUAUGAUUCGCAACGAGCAUCGCGCUCUAGAAGAAGGGUCGGUCACCGAAUCUUUCGAGACAAAUAAACAGCUAUGGACGAGGCUUUGGAAGUUGAACGUGUUGCCAAAGGUUCGUGUCUUUUGGUGGCGAGUGCUGCGCGGGAUUCUUCCUGUGGAGGGCACACUACACUACAAACACAUUACGACAACAGCAAGGUGCAAGGUUUGUCUUGCAGCUGAGGAAGAUAUGUGCCAUGCUUUGAUCAAAUGCAGCCAUGCACAAAACUUUUGGAGAGAAGCCCGUGAGUGGUUGGACGUGAAGCUGCCGGAGCUGCAUACGAUGACAUGGUCUCGAGAUGUUCUCUGUGAUGAUCACUUUGAUGGGUCAGACAGGGCUAAGAUCAUUAUUGUGAUGUGGGCAAUAUGGACAUCUAAAAACAAUAUCACGCAUGAAAAAGCUAGUAUGGAUCCUGUCCAGUCACUGAAGAUGAUCAAAGAUGCGUUGGCAGUGCUAGAGAUACUGAUCAAGCAUGCAAUUGUGCUGCCAGGGCACGGGUGGAGACCGCCUGAGGGCGAGUGCAUCAAAAUUAACACAGAUGCUGGUGUUGCUAUGCUCGAGCAUAGAGGAGGUAUUGGGGGCGUGGCCAGAUCAUCUUCGACUUUUAUCACAGCUUGGUGCAAACCAUGCCCAGGUAUCACAGAUCCUCUGGUGGCAGAGGCAACUGCGGUGCGUGAGGGUGUGGUGGUGGCAAUGCUCCGUGGUUUUGCGCGGGUCGAAAUUGAAACAGACUUUUUGGAAGUGGUCAACCUCUGGAAAUUGCGCCGAAAUUCGCGCUCUGUAAUAGCGCCGUUACUUUUAAAUAUUGAGGAGCUUGUUGCUCAGUUUACUUAUUUUAACAUUCUUCAUGUCGUCAUGGCGUGGAUGUUCCCGUGCGCCGUGUGGGCGGCGAUGGCGCCGGCCGUGGCAACGGCAGCGACCACGGACGGCGCUUCGAGCGUUGAGCAGGGCAGCUCCUCGUCGCCGGCGUUCGGCCCUGGCGACGCUAAGGUGGCCUCCGACCCGGGCUCCUCCCCGGCGUCGAGGUCGUCCACCUCCUCCUCCUUGCUCGGCGCCCGAAGCAGCUCGUCGAACAGCGCGCGCUCACUGGUGAGGGAGGGCGGUGACACGGCCGCAUGGAAGGGCCACGCGCUAAGGCGGUGCCUGCGCAGGUUCGCCAGAAAUCUGCAGCGCGCCGGUGCUGCUGACGAGCGGCCAGACGGGCGCGGGAGACGGAAGGGCCGGGCGACGAAGCCGGACGGGAGGGUCGCCGCCGGCGAGGACGGCACCGCUCGGGCGAGGGAGAAGGCCGUCGCGAGCGCGAUCGCCUACUACAAGGCUGUGGCGAAAAAAAGCUCAAACCGAAAAUCAAAACACAGCUGCAAGGAGUCGAGCCGGCAGCGCUGCAGGCCGCCGUUGGCUCCCUCGCCCAACUUGGACGGCUGGCUCCUCGUUCGUCCGGAGGAGGAGAUCGGCACCAGCGCCACGAGCGUCGUCUCGCCCUGCGAAUGCGAGGCGCAGGGCACCUCGAGCGCCGCCGCCCCCCACCACGGCCACGCGGCCUGCGACGCAGAAUGCGGCGGCGGCAGGCCGUCGACGGUGGAAACUCGGCGAGGUCCAGCCGGGGAGAUGGAAAAGGGUGACGCUGUCGACGGGCUUGACGGGGACGUCCUUAGGACAACGAGUUACUUCGCCGCCAAAUAUGUCGUCAUGGCGUGGAUGUUCCCGUGCGCCGUGUGGGCGGCGAUGGCGCCGGCCGUGGCGACGACAGCGACCACGGACGGCGCUUCGAGCGUUGAGCAGGGCAGCUCCUCGUCGCCGGUGUUCGGCCCUGGCGACGCUAAGGUGGCCUCCGACCCGGGCUCCUCCCCGGCGUCGAGGUCGUCCACCUCCUCCUCCUUGCUCGGCGCCCGAAGCAGCUCGUCGAACAGCGCGCGCUCACCGGUGAGGGAGGGCGGUGACACGGCCGCACGGAAGGGCCACGCGCUAAGGCGGUGCCUGCGCAGGUUCGCCAGAAAUCUGCAGCGCGCCGGUGCUGCGGACGAGCGGCCAGACGGGCGCGGGAGAUGGAAGGGCCGGGCGACGAAGCCGGACGGGAGGGUCGCCGCCGGCGAGGACGGCACCGCCCGGGCAAGGGAGGAGGCCGUCGCGAGCGCGAUCGCCUACUGCAAGGCUGUGUUUUGA
rnacentral:rRNA from 1 species